GCCAAGAGCCUAGCUCUAAUUUUUCAAAUGAACUAACCACCACCCCCAUCCAAAUUAAAACAUUUUAACAAUUUAGUAAAGGCGAUUAAAAAAUUAAUUAAAGCUAUAUUAUGUGUACCGCAAGGGAAAGAUGAAAUAAAAAUGAAAUAAAUUUUAAGCACAAAAUAGCAAAGAUUAAUCCUUGUACCUUUUGCAUCAUGGUUUAACUAGUCUAAUCAAGCAAAAAGACUUAAAGUUUGAUUCCCCGAAACUAAGCGAGCUACUUCAGGGCAGCUUAACGAGCAAACCCGUCUCUGUUGCAAAAGAAUGGGAAGACCCCUAAGUAGAAGUGACAGACCUAUCGAGCUUAGUGAUAGCUGGUUACUCAAAAAAAGAAUUUAAGUUCAACCUAAAAUUAAAAAUAUUAUUGAUAAAAUAUAACACUUAUUUUAGAGUAAUUCAAAUAGGGUACAGCCUAUUUGAAACAGGACACAACCUACGCCAAUGGGUAACUAUCUUCUGUAUAAUAAUUAAGUAGGCCUAAAAGCAGCCAUCUUUCAAAUAGCGUCACAGCUUUAUUAUACUAACACCAAAUUCCAACACACUUUCAUAACCCUUCACCAACAUUGAGUAAUUCUAUACAUGUAUAGAAAUUUUUAUGUUAAAACUAGUAACAAGAAGAUGAGCUUCUCCUCAAUGUAAGUAUAAAUCAGUUAGGACCCACAACUGAUAGUUAACACCUCUACUAUAGUAGCACCAAAACAAGAAAAACCUACUCUCACCACAUGUUAACCUAACACAAGCACAUUACAAGAAAGAUUUAAAGAAAAAGAAGGAACUCGGCAAACACUAACCCCGCCUGUUUACCAAAAACAUCGCCUCUUGAAACCCAUAAGAGGUCCAGCCUGCCCAGUGACUCUGUUCAACGGCCGCGGUAUUCUGACCGUGCGAAGGUAGCGUAAUCACUUGUUCUUUAAUUGAGGACUAGUAUGAAUGGCACCACGAAGGUUAUACUGUCUCCUUUUUCCAAUCAGUGAAACUGAUCUCCCCGUGAAGAAACGGGGAUACACUUAUAAGACGAGAAGACCCUAUGGAGCUUUAAACUUACAACAGCUGCCUAAAAAACUUUAAUUCCAGAAAAUAAACCCUAAUUCAGCAUCCUUGAUUUUUAAGUUUUUGGUUGGGGUGACCACGGAGUAAAACUUAACCUCCGCACUGAAAAAGGCCUCAGGCCUUAUCUAAGAGCCACAACUCUAUACAUCAACAAUUUGACAUAAUUGACCCAAUAUAUUGAUCAAUGAACCAAGUUACCCUAGGGAUAACAGCGCAAUCCACUUCAAGAGCCCCUAUCGACAAGUGGGUUUACGACCUCGAUGUUGGAUCAGGAUACCCAAGUGGUGCAGCCGCUACUAAAGGUUCGUUUGUUCAACGAUUAAAACCC
rnacentral:rRNA from 3 species